GAGUGCAAGGGUGAUCUGGCUGUGAUGUCUGUCACCCCAUUGAUCACCACAGUUGAUUUGGCUGAUCUAGCUGACUCUGUGGGGUUCCCCUUCCUCGCUCACCACUCCAUGUGCUUCUCUCCUGAAGCUGUGCACUUAGUUGAAGAGGACAACCUUCCCAGAUAGAGGAAGACUAUUCUUUGGUCAAGGUAUAUGAAUAGAUGUGGUCCUCUGCUAGAAUCUCUAAACAAACUCAAGGGAGCCAGGUGAUCCUAGCUCUCAGGAAGCAGAAGCAGGAGGAUCACCACAAGUUCAAGGCCAGCCU
rnacentral:snRNA from 1 species